ensembl:lncRNA
CUCAUUAAUGAAUCAUGAACAGACUCUUUCUGUGUUGAAUCUCAAUGACAUUCAUGAUUUCUUUAUGCAAUGUGGCAAUGUGUAAAACGCAAUGCAAUCAAAGUCGUUUUCAGAUGAAAUUUCUCCAUCUCUCUGCGAUUGUGAAAGAUCAGCGUGAGGAAAUGAAGAGUAAGAGUUUCUCUGAUGAAACUGGAUUUCAGGCUCAGAUGACCUUUGCUGUGUUUCUAAACUCAUCCAGCAGAUGCUAUCAGACGGUGAUAGUGUGGAAGUGUCCGCAUGCGGUCAGUGACAGAAGAUUUGUCAUCUGCGUCGGUUCGGUUUGACCUGCAUCUCUCCAGUGUUUCAGUGAUUCCAUCGAGCUCCAUCAGUGUUGAAUCAGUGUUUGCUCAGAGAUCAGCAGUCCAGCGGGUGAAACGAACACACCUAUCAUCCAGAAGAUCUUGGUGCGAAUGGUGCGAGGACCCUCAGUUGCUCCAUUUAUUAAAUAUUUUGAAAUGACUUAGACCAGUGCUUCCCAAACCUGUCCUGAAGGACCCCCUGACCUGCACCUUUUGUAUGUCUCCCUUAUCUAACACACCUGAUUCCACUCAUCAGCUCGUUAGUAGAGACUGCAGGGCAGGGGGUCCUCCAGGACAGGUUUGGGAAGCACUGGCUUAUACACUAAAAGUGAUUAUAUCUGUGUCCCUGCAGCACAGAAGCAGUCAUCAGUAGCACAGGUAUAUUUGUAACAAUAGCCAAAAUAACAUUGUAUGGGUCAAAAUGAUUGAUUUUUCUUUUAUACCAAAAAUCAUUAGGAUAUUAAGUUAAGAUCAUGUUCCAUGAAGAUAUUUUGUAAAUUUCCUACCAUCAAUAUAUCAAAAAAUCAUUUUUGAUUAGUAAUAUGCAUUGCUAAGAACUUCAUUUGAACAACUUUAAAGAUGAUUUUCUCAAUAUUUAGAUUUUUUUGCUCCCUCAGAUUCCAGAUUUUCAAAUAGUUGUAUCUCAGACAAAUAUUGUCCUCCUAACAAACCACACAUCAAUGGAGAGAUUAUUUAUUCAGCUUUCAGAUGAUGUAUAAACCUCAGUUUUGAAAAAUUGACCCUUAUGACUGGUUUUGUAUAUCUAUAUAUAUAUCUAUAUCUAUAUCUAUAUAUCUAUCUAUCUAUAUAUAUAUAUAUAUACAGUGGUGGAUGAAGUAAACAAAUCAAGUACUUGAGUAAAAGUAUAGAUACAUAUAAUAAAAUAUUACUCCAGUAAAAGUAAAAGUACUGC